rnacentral:rRNA from 1 species
AUUGAACGCUGGCGGCAGGCCUAACACAUGCAAGUCGAGCGGAAACGAGUUAUCUGAACCUUCGGGGAACGAUAACGGCGUCGAGCGGCGGACGGGUGAGUAAUGCCUAGGAAAUUGCCCUGAUGUGGGGGAUAACCAUUGGAAACGAUGGCUAAUACCGCAUGAUGCCUACGGGCCAAAGAGGGGGACCUUCGGGCCUCUCGCGUCAGGAUAUGCCUAGGUGGGAUUAGCUAGUUGGUGAGGUAAGGGCUCACCAAGGCGACGAUCCCUAGCUGGUCUGAGAGGAUGAUCAGCCACACUGGAACUGAGACACGGUCCAGACUCCUACGGGAGGCAGCAGUGGGGAAUAUUGCACAAUGGGCGCAAGCCUGAUGCAGCCAUGCCGCGUGUGUGAAGAAGGCCUUCGGGUUGUAAAGCACUUUCAGUCGUGAGGAAGGUAGUGUAGUUAAUAGCUGCAUUAUUUGACGUUAGCGACAGAAGAAGCACCGGCUAACUCCGUGCCAGCAGCCGCGGUAAUACGGAGGGUGCGAGCGUUAAUCGGAAUUACUGGGCGUAAAGCGCAUGCAGGUGGUUUGUUAAGUCAGAUGUGAAAGCCCGGGGCUCAACCUCGGAAUAGCAUUUGAAACUGGCAGACUAGAGUACUGUAGAGGGGGGUAGAAUUUCAGGUGUAGCGGUGAAAUGCGUAGAGAUCUGAAGGAAUACCGGUGGCGAAGGCGGCCCCCUGGACAGAUACUGACACUCAGAUGCGAAAGCGUGGGGAGCAAACAGGAUUAGAUACCCUGGUAGUCCACGCCGUAAACGAUGUCUACUUGGAGGUUGUGGCCUUGAGCCGUGGCUUUCGGAGCUAACGCGUUAAGUAGACCGCCUGGGGAGUACGGUCGCAAGAUUAAAACUCAAAUGAAUUGACGGGGGCCCGCACAAGCGGUGGAGCAUGUGGUUUAAUUCGAUGCAACGCGAAGAACCUUACCUACUCUUGACAUCCAGAGAACUUUCCAGAGAUGGAUUGGUGCCUUCGGGAACUCUGAGACAGGUGCUGCAUGGCUGUCGUCAGCUCGUGUUGUGAAAUGUUGGGUUAAGUCCCGCAACGAGCGCAACCCUUAUCCUUGUUUGCCAGCGAGUAAUGUCGGGAACUCCAGGGAGACUGCCGGUGAUAAACCGGAGGAAGGUGGGGACGACGUCAAGUCAUCAUGGCCCUUACGAGUAGGGCUACACACGUGCUACAAUGGCGCAUACAGAGGGCGGCCAACUUGCGAAAGUGAGCGAAUCCCAAAAAGUGCGUCGUAGUCCGGAUUGGAGUCUGCAACUCGACUCCAUGAAGUCGGAAUCGCUAGUAAUCGUGGAUCAGAAUGCCACGGUGAAUACGUUCCCGGGCCUUGUACACACCGCCCGUCACACCAUGGGAGUGGGCUGCAAAAGAAGUAGGUAGUUUAACCUUCGGGGGGACGCUUACCACUU